GAUGAACGCUGGCGGCGUGCCUAAUACAUGCAAGUCGAGCGAACGGACGAGAAGCUUGCUUCUCUGAUGUUAGCGGCGGACGGGUGAGUAACACGUGGAUAACCUACCUAUAAGACUGGGAUAACUUCGGGAAACCGGAGCUAAUACCGGAUAAUAUUUUGAACCGCAUGGUUCAAAAGUGAAAGACGGUCUUGCUGUCACUUAUAGAUGGAUCCGCGCUGCAUUAGCUAGUUGGUAAGGUAACGGCUUACCAAGGCAACGAUGCAUAGCCGACCUGAGAGGGUGAUCGGCCACACUGGAACUGAGACACGGUCCAGACUCCUACGGGAGGCAGCAGUAGGGAAUCUUCCGCAAUGGGCGAAAGACUGACGGAGCAACGCCGCGCGAGUGAUGAAGGUCUUCGGAUCGUAAAACUCUGUUAUUAGGGAAGAACAUAUGUGUAAGUAACUGUGCACAUCUUGACGGUACCUAAUCAGAAAGCCACGGCUAACUACGUG
rnacentral:rRNA from 1 species